rnacentral:rRNA from 1 species
AGAGUUUGAUCCUGGCUCAGGACGAACGCUGGCGGCGUGCUUAACACAUGCAAGUCGAACGGAGUGCUCCGGAAAGAGAUUUCGGUCAAUGGAUGGAGUUACUUAGUGGCGGACGGGUGAGUAACGCGUGAGGAACCUGCCUUUCAGAGGGGGACAACAGUUGGAAACGACUGCUAAUACCGCAUAACGCAUGGGUAUCGCAUGGUAUCUGUGCCAAAGAUUUAUCGCUGAGAGAUGGCCUCGCGUCUGAUUAGCUAGUUGGUGAGGUAACGGCCCACCAAGGCGACGAUCAGUAGCCGGACUGAGAGGUUGGCCGGCCACAUUGGGACUGAGAUACGGCCCAGACUCCUACGGGAGGCAGCAGUGGGGAAUAUUGGGCAAUGGGCGCAAGCCUGACCCAGCAACGCCGCGUGAAGGAAGAAGGCUUUCGGGUUGUAAACUUCUUUUAAGAGGGAAGAGCAGAAGACGGUACCCCUUGAAUAAGCCACGGCUAACUACGUG